rnacentral:rRNA from 1 species
GAUUGAACGCUGGCGGCAGGCCUAACACAUGCAAGUCGAGCGGAUGAAGGGAGCUUGCUCUCUGAUUCAGCGGCGGACGGGUGAGUAAUGCCUAGGAAUCUGCCUGAUAGUGGGGGACAACGUUUCGAAAGGAACGCUAAUACCGCAUACGUCCUACGGGAGAAAGCAGGGGACCUUCGGGCCUUGCGCUAUCAGAUGAGCCUAGGUCGGAUUAGCUAGUUGGUGAGGUAACGGCUCACCAAGGCGACGAUCCGUAACUGGUCUGAGAGGAUGAUCAGUCACACUGGAACUGAGACACGGUCCAGACUCCUACGGGAGGCAGCAGUGGGGAAUAUUGGACAAUGGGCGAAAGCCUGAUCCAGCCAUGCCGCGUGUGUGAAGAAGGUCUUCGGAUUGUAAAGCACUUUAAGUUGGGAGGAAGGGCAUUAACCUAAUACGUUAGUGUUUUGACGUACCGACAGAAUAAGC